CCUACGGGUGGCAGCAGUGAGGAAUAUUGGUCAAUGGGCGGGAGCCUGAACCAGCCAAGUCGCGUGAGGGAAGACGGUCCUACGGAUUGUAAACCUCUUUUGCCGGGGAGCAACGGGGUCCUUGCGAGGGCCCGAUGAGAGUACCCGGAGAAAAAGCAUCGGCUAACUCCGUGCCAGCAGCCGCGGUAAUACGGAGGAUGCGAGCGUUAUCCGGAUUUAUUGGGUUUAAAGGGUGCGUAGGCGGGCGUUCAAGUCAGCUGUAAAAUCGCGCGGCUCAACCGCGCCCCGCAGUUGAAACUGGACGCCUUGAGUUCACAACAGGCAGGCGGAAUUCGUGGUGUAGCGGUGAAAUGCAUAGAUAUCACGAGGAACCCCGAUUGCGAAGGCAGCCUGCCGGGGUGCGACUGACGCUGAGGCUCGAAGGUGCGGGUAUCAAACAGGAUUAGAUACCCUUGUAGUC
rnacentral:rRNA from 1 species